rnacentral:rRNA from 1 species
CCUACGGGUGGCAGCAGUGGGGAAUAUUGGACAAUGGGCGAAAGCCUGAUCCAGCCAUGCCGCGUGUGUGAAGAAGGCCUUCGGGUUGUAAAGCACUUUCAGUGGGGAAGAAAGCCUUGGGGCUAAUACCCUCGAGGAAGGACAUCACCCACAGAAGAAGCACCGGCUAACUCCGUGCCAGCAGCCGCGGUAAUACGGAGGGUGCGAGCGUUAAUCGGAAUUACUGGGCGUAAAGCGCGCGUAGGCGGUCUGAUAAGCCGGUUGUGAAAGCCCCGGGCUCAACCUGGGAACGGCAUCCGGAACUGUCAGGCUAGAGUGCAGGAGAGGAGGGUAGAAUUCCCGGUGUAGCAGUGAAAUGCGUAGAGAUGGGGAGGAAUACCGGUGGCGAAGGCGGCCUUCUGGACUGACACUGACGCUGAGGUACGAAAGCGUGGGUAGCAAACAGGAUUAGAUACCCCGGUAGUC